CGCCCCCUCCCCUUCCACCCUAGCCGCCACCCCCAUCGUGCGACUGCGAACCCGCCCUCCCGUCCCACUCUCCUCUCCACUGUCCUCGAUUCCAGUUUCUAAUUAGCGGUCAAGGAGUAGAUAACUGCACAACUUUGGACAUGCAUGAGGCAGUGGCUGUUAAAAAGAUAGAUGACUGUAACAAAUAAUGUGUGAGAACAAGGAGCCAAAAAUAUUGGAAAACGACCAUAAGAUAGAUAGCGGAUUCAGUGAUUUGGUUAUUAUGGAGGUUGAUGGAACUUGGUCUACUGUCGGAAUUCAGAGCCAUAAAGCAUUGGACUUGGACAAGAUCUCUUCCAUGGCAGCAACCAGCAGUCCAAGGCCAAGGUGAGUUCCCCCUUUUCCUCCUCUUGCUGAGCUCCCUCCUUUGCCCGCCAUUUCCCUCGCUAUCUCAGUGAUAUGGUUAUAUGCGCUGCUAGAAGUGAGGAUUUGACUAUAUUUCCGAAGCGAAAAUAUAACGAAGCGAAAAAAUUUCCAGAGAUCUGGGAGUUGUACUACUACUUUUGUUGUGAUGUGUCUUGCUUUCCUGUUUGUUUACAAUUGGCAAGUUUUAGGCUUUUACUGUCUUUAGGCCAUCCUAGCAAUACUUUUUACAGUUAUACUGCAAGGUCUGCACUAUUUGUUCUCUUAUGAAAAUAUGGUUCUUGAUGAAGUUUUACUUCACUGUUGGCAUCUCCUCUGUUUGCUGAUCUACAAAUGUGUUUUUGUUUUUACAUUGAUAGACAAACUUUUAGUCGUACUUUCUAGGAUCAUAGUUUGUUGUCAACUACUUCCACUCAUGGCUGAUAUAUGUGAGUAUUUAGGCUGGAUAAAUAUACCAUGGCCUGGACUGGUGGAUUGAGUAUAGUUGGUCCAUACAGAUUCUGUUAGACAUAACUAUCUUUUUUUAAUCGGCCAUGUGACUGCUUGCUAACGGCUUGAAUUGACCCACUCC